AUCCACUUGACGAGUCUUAAAUAAGACGAAACGCGCAUCCUGGAU
rnacentral:hammerhead_ribozyme from 1 species